rnacentral:tRNA from 1 species
GUUUUAAUAGUUUAACAAAAACAUUGGCCUUGUAAAUCAAAAUUAAGUCAUUACUUUUAAAACU